rnacentral:misc_RNA from 1 species
AACGGUCUAUACCUGCGGUACCUGCGGAAGGAUCAUUACCGAGUUCUCGCCCCUCGCGGGGUAGACCUCCCACCCACUGUGAUCACUACCGUCGUUGCUUUGGCGGGCCGCUGGGCCCAGCCCACCGCCGGCUCCGGCUGGCGCGUGCCCGCCAGAGGCCCUACAAACGCUGGAUAUCAGUGCCGUCUGAGUACACAUGUUAAUCGUUAAAACUUUCAACAAUGGAUCUCUAGAUCGGAA